UCCACACCCCAGCCAUCCAGCCAUGGGUCUGAUGAGUGAGGACAUGGAGUGCUGCGUCUGCCUCCAAUCCUACUCUCGUAGGGAGAAGAUCCCUCGGAUGCUCCACUGUAAGCACACAGUGUGUGGGCUGUGCUUGCAGGCGAUGUCCAGGCACCAGAGCGGCCUACUGACAGUCUGCUGCCCACUGUGCCGUUGGAUCACCUGCACCGAGCCCAGCCUCACCCUGCCGGGGUCGCUGUGGGUUAACACUGAGAUCUGGGACCAGAUACUAGACACACAACAGGAAGAGGAGGAGGAGGAAGAGGAAGGACAGUGGAAGGAAGCUAACAGACAGACACAGACCACUACACCGUACACAUGGUCUCCAUCAAGGCAUUGUGGCCUGAGGCUCAAACUACAGAAUUUCCUGAGGCGGAUGAAGCACAAUGUACUGUAAACCGAGAAGACGAAGAGCAGAGAUAAAGAAGACUGGAUGUUACCAUUUCAGAGUAGGAGAUACUCAUUGAGUAAUGAAGCUAAUUCACUAAACAGGACCGACCGGGGAUUUUCAAUAAUGACGCAAGAAUGAACAAAUUAUUAAUAUUCUU
rnacentral:lncRNA from 1 species